rnacentral:rRNA from 1 species
UACGUAGGGACCAAGCGUUGUCCGGAAUCAUUGGGCGUAAAGAGCGUGUAGGCGGCUUGUUAAGUCUUGCGUGAAAUCUCGGGGCUCAACCCCGAGCGGUCGUGAGAAACUGGCAGGCUAGAGUGCGGGAGAGGAGAGUGGAAUUCCUGGUGUAGCGGUGAAAUGCGCAGAUAUCAGGAAGAACACCCGUGGCGAAGGCGGCUCUCUGGAACGCAACUGACGCUGAGACGCCGAAAGCGUGGGGAGCAAACAGG